AAACAGCCCUUAUGUAUUGGAUCUUUGGCAGUUUUGGCCCGAAGCCACUUUUGACUUAGUCUUCGCUGACGUGGCACCCACAAUGGCCGACACGUGGCACCUCACUUAAGGGAUGUGGGUGCCACGUCAGCGAAGACUAAGUCAAAAGUGGCCUUGGGGCACAAAACUGCCAAAGAUUCAAUACAUAGGGGUCUGUUU
rfam:Medicago truncatula strain A17 chromosome 4, whole genome shotgun sequence.